rnacentral:lncRNA from 1 species
GUCAGCUUCUGCAGGGGGUUCUUCUUACCCUGAGUGUAUGGAGAGUUGAUGACCCCUAGUGGGAGCUGAGAAACCACAUAGCCGCCUGCAACAAGUAAAUGCUGAUAUUUGCAUUGGAGAUGUGGGGAGUUAACACUCUCCACAGGAGAUCUGUUCUUUUGCUUACAGCUUCUUACUUAGGCAACUGAGAAUUGAAGUUUUUGAAAAAUCAAAAAAGAAAUUUAACUUAUUAUGUGAGGUAGGGACAAAGGAAAGUCACCAAGUUCAGGAAGGGCAUAGCCCAGCCUUGCUGUAAGAGGGUGACUUCUGUGCCUGACCAUAGGCUAACACUGGUGACCACGGCCACCUGGGGCAGAGCUGUGAACCCAGAGAAGCAGCUGAACAGGCCAGCAGGCAACCUGCCAUGGGGUCCUGCUCCAAGAACCGGUCCUUCUUCUGGAUGACUGGGCUCCUGGUAUUCAUCAGCCUCCUCCUCAGUGUCUGCAGAACUGCAGCCAACACUUCUGGAGCACAUGGCUCUGCAGGGAAGGAUUCUGGAGCCCCCAUUCAUCUGAAGGGCAUCCGAGGAGGUUCUGUCUUGUUUAAUGCGAUCGAGAAGCUCAGAGUAGAUGUAGGCACCGAGUUGGAGGAGGUUCUAUGGGCUUUGGGCGCUCUGACAAAUCAUACACAGUUGCUGCGAGUCCGCAGGGGGGCCGACUCUCCAACCUGGUUGAAACUCCAGGACAAGUUCAAGCAGAGGGUCCAUGUACCCAGCAUGUCAUCCCUGAGGAUUGAGAACCUGGCCCCUGAAGACAGUGGGCAGUACUUUGCCAACAUCACCUCUACUAAGGGAGAGGGGAUUUUCCAGGUUUUCUACCUCACUGUCUAUGAGCCUGUGCCUCACCCUGAGUUCCUGGCAAAGUCACUGUCUAUCACACCAGACCUGUGUAACGUCACCCUGGAGUGUAGGGCUCCAGGGGCCACAGAAGACCUGAAUGUGACUUGGGAGAGCAAGGGCCUCCUCAGAGAGCUGGAGCAGAGAGAAACACCAGGACCAGCCCCCAACCCCUGGACACUGGCUGUGAACCUGCCCCUGUGCCAGUGCAACACCCACCUCACCUGUGUGGUCAGCAACCAGGUGGAUCAGAAAGCUGCAAUCUUAGACCUUAGGAAAGUCUGUGUCCAAGGCAGAGAAUUGCAGGAGAAUCAUGGGGUCGAUGAUGGUGUCAACCAAUAUGAAGAUCUCAGACAGCAAGUGUUUCCGAAGGGCAAGGACAAGGGCAUCGGUGAACAAUAUCUGGAAAAAAGGGAGUCUCUCACUCCUAUCUACAGUGAGGUUCAUUAUCAUUGUCCAGGCCAGGCCAUUAAGAUCAUUCGAUUGGAGGAAGCAACAGGAUCUGGCACUCCCAGGACACCUGUACUCUGAGCCUGAAGCCUGCAGAUCCCCGCCUUUCCCAGUGCUGGUUCAGUUUCCGCUGCCCCUAGUCUGUGUUACUCUGAUCUCAUAGCUACAGUUCUACAGUGUACCCAUGGCCUGUUCGCAUUCUGUGACACCUCCCAAAGAUGCACUUACACUUGGGCAAAGAUUCUUCCCUUGUCAUUGACAUUGCUCCUGACCCCUCUCUUUCAGAAGCCUUCCCAAGGGGACCCUGUCUGAUUGCACAGGUGGCAAAUCCCCACCACCUCUGCCAUGUCACUUGUGUGUGUAAUUCUGAGGACACAAGCCCAGACAUGGGAACUGUGCAGAGGUGUUGACUGUGCUGCAGAGGAGGGACAUAGACCUGGCUUCUGGAUGCUGAGUUGGAGGAUAUCGUGGGUGGGUAGAAGCCCACAAAGGAACACGCUGAGGCUUCCUUUGCAGAUUUUGUGUAGGGCUCCCUUGCGGGUAUCAGGCAGUGCGUGUGUGCAUGCAGGUUGGUGGUGGAGGGGGGUGUCUAGUGCAUAUUAUACAACUGAACCAAAGCCACCUUUCUUUUCUUCUGUGCUAAUCUUAACUUAAUCUUCAGCCUCAGCCUGUGGAUCCAAACUCAACUUCCUGUAGAGUGGAAAGAGAAAUUUUUAUCAUCUCAAAACCUUCCUAGCCUCAGUGUCUCAGAGAAUGACCCUAAGAGGCCACAGUUGGAGGCUGUCUUAGGAACACAGCCUCAGCUCUUUCCUUGGCCUAGUAUAAGGCACUUGGCUGUAAGAACAGAAGUGUGAUAUCCUUCCACACUCACUUGAUGAGGGCUACUUGGGCUCUGAUGGGUGAAGCUGUUGAGAAGGUCUGACUCAGCCCUCUCCAACCUCUUCUUAUUCUGACCCUUAAUACCCCAGUAGCCAUGCUGGCCCCAAACCCUUGGUCAUCCACUUCUUUGCUCACUUGCAUCUCUCUGCCUGACAUGAAAGUUCCUUCUCCCUGUUCCUCACCCUCACUCCCGCCUGUUGAAAUACUACUGUGCUGCUCAAAGCUCUUCCCAAGAUGCUUGUUCCAUGGAGCUCUCUGGAUCUUAAAGGUUUAGACAUGAUCUCUCCCACAACUGACUUUUCUGAACACCUUGGACACUAUGUACGGUCCCUGCCAGUUUGUCCUAGGAUGGUCAUGAGUCUUCCUGCAGGACUAACCUGGGCUCUCUCAGGUGGAUGUGGGGCUGUGGGGUAAUAGGGCUGAGGAGACAAGUACUUAUUGGUGCAAAUGGUCUGGGCCACCUUGUUCCCAACCCAUGGGGUCAGCAGAGGGAGAUGCAGCACAGGGGCUACUGACAAACUCUCUGGUGUGGCUCUACCUGGAAACAGGGAUGGACAUAAUGACCUCCCUUGACUAUGCGUGGCCUGAGGUCCUAAUUGGAGACUUCCUUACUCCCUCAUCCACCUCUUAUUGCGAACCUGGCCAUUCUUCCAUCAUGGUAUGUGGGUGUUUCUUUCCUCCUGAGGGGUCCUCAGCUUCUUGCAGCCUCUGCCUCUUAUUUGAGUCCCAGCUUUUAUGCAGAGAUGAGCUAACUCUAGUACCAUGAGCUGCUGUGGCAUGUCUGGUGGCCUAGAUCCUUGGGCCCCUUAGUUUCCCUCAUGGCUCAGGUGAGCUCAUUUCCUCAUUGCCACCCACAGAAAACAAAGAUCUGAACAGAGUCCCUGCUAAGAGAUGGAGCACUAGAAAAUAGUGCUAGGUGCCUGCUGAAUGGUGGGUGGGUGAGGCAAGAGGGAGAGGAUCCAUAGCAGGGCUUCAUUUCUGCCAUCUUCCCCUUUAGACUGAGCUGAAGGCCGAGGGUGUGCUGGUCUCUUCACUGGCUUCCCAGGUGACUGGACAUUACUGGGUAUCAGUGCACAUUAACCCUGGGGCAGCAUAAGAUGUGAUCACCCAACUGACGUUCCCACUGCACCAAAGGCAACAAAAAACCAAACCAAACAAACCAAAAAGAGGAACAAGGCUUUUGAGGCUGUUUUGAACCAGUUUUUGUCCCAGGCACUUUGCACAUAUUAUUCUUUUUAAUUCUUCUUUAAAUACAUUUUUAAUUUUAAAAUACUAAAUGUUUUACUCUUCUUGUUUAUGAUUUCUUCCAAUGAUAUCAAACUUAAAAGUCCUCUGCAUUCAAAGGACCCAAUAAGUUUUUAUUUAUAUUUUCUUCUGUUGAAAACAUUACAUUAUAAAUACACAUUUUACUCUGAUAUUCCUUUUAAUUGUUAUAAGAACCUACUAUAGUUGGUAUAGGUCAACAGUAUUCAAAACUAGUUGGUGGCAGAGCAAAGCCUUAGAUCCAACACUGGAUGAUUCCAAAGCUCCUUAUCUUUUCCCCUCAUGACAACGGUCACUGAAGACCCUUGCUAUGGUUUGGAUGUUUCCUGUUGGAACUUAAUCCCCAAUGCAAAAGCAUGAAGAAGAGCCGGCUUUUAGGAGGUAAUUAGGUCCCAAGAAUGGAAUUGGUACUCUUAAAAUGGCUUGAGGACAGUGUCACCCCUUUUGCCCUUCUGUCACUUCAACCAUGUGAGGGCACAGUGUUCCUCCUUCCACCAUGUGAGAAUACAGUGUUCCCCACUUCCACCAUGUGAGGACACAGUGUUCCUGCCUUGGAUCAUGUGAAGACAUUGUGCUUCCCCCUUCCACCAUAUAAGGACAUGAUGUUCCUGCCUUUCACCAGGUGAGGACACAGUGUUGCUCCCUUCCACCAUGUGAGAACAUAGUCUACCCCCUUUCUCCAUAUGAGGACACGGUGUUCCCCACUUCCAACAUAUGAGGACAUGGUGUUUCUCCUUCCAUUAUGUAAGGACAUAGUGUUCCUUGCUUCCACUACGUAAUGACACAGUAUUGCCCCUUCCACCAUGUGAGGACACAGUAUUGCCCCUUCCACCAUGUGAGAACAUGGUGUUCCUGCUUUCCAUCAUGUGAGGACACAGUAUUGCCCCUUCCACCAUGUGAGGACACAGUGUUGCCUGCUUCCAUAAUGUGAGGACAUGGUGUUCCCACCUUCCAUCAUGUGCGGACAUACUGUUCUCCCCUUUCACCACUGAGUGCAGUGUUUCCCUCUCUGCUAUGUGAUGAUAUCACAAUAAGAUGCCAUCUAUGGAGCUGAAGGUGAGAUGAAGAGACCCUGAAUCUGCCUUACCAGAUCCUGAAUCUGCCUUACCAGAUCCUGAAUCUACUGGUGCCUUGAUAUUAGACUUCUCAGCCUCCAGACUGUGAGAAAUAAAUUUCUAUUAUAUACAAAUUGCCCAGUGAUUUAUACAUCUAAGGUAUUUUAUUAUAGUAGCCAAAC